CCUACGGGGGGCAGCAGUGAGGAAUAUUGGUCAAUGGACGAGAGUCUGAACCAGCCAAGUAGCGUGAAGGAUGACUGCCCUAUGGGUUGUAAACUUCUUUUAUAUGGGAAUAAAAUGUUCCACGUGUGGGAUUUUGUAUGUACCAUAUGAAUAAGGAUCGGCUAACACCGUGCCAGCAGCCGCGGUAAUACGGAGGAUCCGAGCGUUAUCCGGAUUUAUUGGGUUUAAAGGGAGCGUAGGUGGGUUGUUAAGUCAGUUGUGAAAGUUUGCGGCUCAACCGUAAAAUUGCAGUUGAAACUGGGAGUCUUGAGUACAGUAGAGGUGGGCGGAAUUCGUGGUGUAGCGGUGAAAUGCUUAGAUAUCACGAAGAACUCCGAUUGCGAAGGCAGCUCACUGGACUGCAACUGACACUGAGGCUCGAAAGUGUGGGUAUCAAACAGGAUUAGAUACCCGAGUAGUC
rnacentral:rRNA from 1 species